ACUCCUACGGGAGGCAGCAGUGAGGAAUAUUGGUCAAUGGGCGAGAGCCUGAACCAGCCAAGUAGCGUGCAGGAUGACGGCCCUAUGGGUUGUAAACUGCUUUUGUAUGGGGAUAAAGUUAGGGACGUGUCCCUAUUUGCAGGUACCAUACGAAUAAGGACCGGCUAAUUCCGUGCCAGCAGCCGCGGUAAUACGGAAGGUCCAGGCGUUAUCCGGAUUUAUUGGGUUUAAAGGGAGCGUAGGCUGGAGAUUAAGUGUGUUGUGAAAUGUAGACGCUCAACGUCUGAAUUGCAGCGCAUACUGGUUUCCUUGAGUACGCACAACGUUGGCGGAAUUCGUCGUGUAGCGGUGAAAUGCUUAGAUAUGACGAAGAACUCCGAUUGCGAAGGCAGCUGACGGGAGCGCAACUGACGCUUAAGCUCGAAGGUGCGGGUAUCGAACAGGAUUAGAUACCCUGGUAGUCCGCACAGUAAACGAUGGAUGCCCGCUGUUGGUACCUGGUAUCAGCGGCUAAGCGAAAGCAUUAAGCAUCCCACCUGGGGAGUACGCCGGCAACGGUGAAACUCAAAGGAAUUGACGGGGGCCCGCACAAGCGGAGGAACAUGUGGUUUAAUUCGAUGAUACGCGAGGAACCUUACCCGGGCUUGAACUAACGGUGACGAAUCUAGAGAUAGAUUUUUCUUCGGACACCGUUGGAGGUGCUGCAUGGUUGUCGUCAGCUCGUGCCGUGAGGUGUCGGCUUAAGUGCCAUAACGAGCGCAACCCCUGUCUUUAGUUGCCAUCAGGUGAUGCUGGGCACUCUGGAGAUACUGCCACCGUAAGGUGUGAGGAAGGUGGGGAUGACGUCAAAUCAGCACGGCCCUUACGUCCGGGGCUACACACGUGUUACAAUGGCCGGUACAGAGGGACGGUGUAAUGCAAAUUGCAUCCAAUCUUGAAAGCCGGUCCCAGUUCGGACUGGGGUCUGCAACCCGACCCCACGAAGCUGGAUUCGCUAGUAAUCGCGCAUCAGCCAUGGCGCGGUGAAUACGUUCCCGGGCCUUGUACACACCGCCCGUCAAGCCAUGGGAGUCUGGAGUACCUAAAGUCCGUAACCGCAAGGGUCGGCCUAGGGUAAUACAGGUGACUGGGGCUAAGUCGUAACAAGGUAGCCGUACCGGAAGGUGCGGCUG
rnacentral:rRNA from 1 species